rnacentral:rRNA from 1 species
GACGUAGGGCGCGAGCGUUGUCCGGAUUUAUUGGGCGUAAAGAGCUCGUAGGCGGCUUGUCGCGUCGACUGUGAAAACCCACAGCUCAACUGUGGGCUUGCAGCCGAUACGGGCAGGCUAGAAUUCGGUAGGGGAGACUGGAAUUCCUGGUGUAGCGGUGAAAUGCGCAGAUAUCAGGAGGAACACCGGUGGCGAAGGCGGAUCUCUGGGCCUUACCUGACGCUCAGGCGCGAAAGCUAGGGGAGCGAACUGG